UACGGAGGGUGCGAGCGUUGUCCGGAAUCAUUGGGCGUAAAGCGCGUGUAGGCGGCCCGAUAAGUCCGCUGUGAAAGUCCAGGGCUCAACCCUGGAAUGCCGGUGGAUACUGUCGGGCUAGAGUCCGGAAGAGGCGAGUGGAAUUCCUGGUGUAGCGGUGAAAUGCGCAGAUAUCAGGAGGAACACCAAUGGCGAAGGCAGCUCGCUGGGACGUGACUGACGCUGAGACGCGAAAGCGUGGGGAGCAAACAGG
rnacentral:rRNA from 1 species